AAAAAAGAGAGUGAAAGAGGAGGGGAUGACUAAGAGACUAACAGCUUAAUUGAGUGUGUGCUGCGUCCAAUUCCACCUAAAGAAUCGUAUAUAGUCCAGCCACUACCUGCUCCCAUAGGAUCACUGGUCACCAGGGGUCACCUCACUGAGGGUCUGAGGCCAAGACUGCAGAGCUUGAUAGGAUGUAAACUGAAGAGCUGCUUGGAUGAAGAGGAACGAGCAUUCUAGGCCCAUGGAAAUUACAAAACUACAUUCAUCUGACACUAAACCAGGAAGAAUGUUGACCAGAUGACAAGGCUUGUGUCCAACUGACAAAUUCCUCAUAAAUUUCAAGAGCUGAGAGAGAGAGAACAUAAUUUGUAUUUGUUAAAAAAUUCCUCCUGUGGACAGAGACAAAGCAAUAUAUUGAGAGAAAGUGUGAAAGAUGUGAAAUGUAAGUAUACAAAGGCAGCACCUGAAGUCACAGCUGUAUUUGACAACUGCUGACGCUGUGAUGAACUGGACAUACAGCUCAACAAUUACUCAAGAAGUGUUUUUUUUUUUAUUAAAGAGCCUUUGAAAAGAGCAUUGUAUUACUGUAUUCUCAACUUUGGGGCAAACGCUAAACCCAAAGAGCACUAUGGCUUAGUUCCAUUUGCAAACCACUGUCCUGCAUUAAGGACAUGGCACAUAGAGUCUUAUUAACUUCUUAGGGAUUUCCACAGGAUUAGGUUCAGACAACCCAAGCAACUUCCUUAACUUGAGCCAUUUCCAAUUAGAUCCUAUUAACAGAACACUGACUUGAGCUCUGCAAACACUCUAUAGGGGAUUUACGUCAGCUUAACAGAGGGGAAAAAGUUUAAUAACAGUUGCAUGUAUUCCUUCCAUAUAGGCAGUAUACACUUCCGAUUUUCCUCAUUCCAGCGCACCAUGAAGUUGUGUGAUAACCCCCGGAUCAACGCAUAUCUUUGAGUGAGACAUACAGUUAAGUAUCAUGCCUAUCACACAUACAUACUGUAAGGAUCAUGCUAAUAAGAUCUCUAGGAGAUCAUGUAUGCUGUAAAGGCCUGAUGCGUCCUGCCUGCUGAAAGGAGCUCUAUUAAGCUGCAAGUGAGAUGACACAGCUUUAGAGACUGUAUGGGUCAGGCUUUCUCAGAGUGAGAAGGGAAAAAAACGAGAUAGAAAGAGAAGAGAGCAGGGAAAGGAGGAAUGCUUGCUUUUCCUUGUUGAUCUAUGAGAGCAGAUCCAGAUGUAGCAGAUGGAUGAAAAGCAAUAAAAGAAAGAUGCUUGAGGAGAAAGGUAGACAUAAUGAAGUAGGAAUGGUAAACUUUGAUGAGAGGUCGCUAAAAUGAACAGAAAGGAAUUUUCUUCUGCUUUUUCAUACAGACUUUAGUCUAAGGGCUGAACUUAUAAAUGCAGCAGUAUUUACAUCACCAAAAUCAAUGUAUUUCAAUGGAAUUUCUGCAAUUAGUAGACUUGCUAGCAUUUACUUGUGGAGGCAAAGUACAUUUGCGCAGUGCUGACAUGUAGAAAUUCAACUUUGGUGAAGUCUGACACACAGAUUUGUACUCUUAUCCAAAUUGCAAACCAUUUUGACAGUGCUGACCUUUGAGAGAACUGGAGAGUCCAAAAUGGAGCAAGUUAUCACAUUAGUUGUGUCGUACCAUGCAAUUUUAUGUAGCAGGGGAGGUGGCUUUGCUAGAUUUGGGUUCCUGGAAAGGAGAAGAUACCUGAUCUUCUUUUCAGCUUGUUGUCAAGCUGGAAAUGUUGUGUUCAUUAUUGACAUUAUCUCUGCCUGCAUCAGACACUUGUAGCUGAUCAAUCACAGUCUUCCAUGUUGUAUUUCCUUAGUCCUGGCAUGUAGUUAUAUAUAGCUACGGUGGCUUUGUGCGUAGCUACGCCAUAACCACUUAAUGCAUCACUAUGAAUCAACCUUUAAGAUCACUUUAUCACCAAGAUGCUGGCACAACUUCUGAGUACAAAUAAAUGAAUUUCACUGUGCCUAUUUCUGACGUGACCAGCACUAACAGAAGAAGGAUGUAUGUGGGCACCUUGACUUACAACGAAAUGCUAAUAGCAUCAGAAGACUGAUUUGUUUUGGGUUGUGACACAGAACAGUUGUUUGCUGUUGCACGCUGUUCACAUUGUUCUACAUGUUCUUGCAUGAAACCAAGGUUGCAUUAAAUGUAUAACAUCAGCACCAGUGGACACCUUCACACUGUUGGCCUCCACACGACCUUUUUCAACACCAGGACUGUCACCUUGCCAAAUCCUCUCCACAUGAGCAGCUGGACAAGUAGACACACACACACACACACACACACACACACAGGCAACUGGAUGCAAAACAAGCACCUCCAUCUCUUGUCUUAAUGGGUUUUAGACUCUGUUCUGACUGUACACAAAUCAAAUAAAUGUACCGGCUCGAGGCACGCCUGCAGACACACUGCACAUUAGAGUGAGGUGGUAGUUAUAUGUUGCUCUUAAGCUGGCACAGAACUGCAUGCAUAAAUCUGAGGGAGCACCGCUGAGCUGAACAGAGGAGGUAAAAGGAGAGAAGGGCACAGGGUGGUUGAAAGGAAGGUAAAAAGCGUGAGAAGGACACAAGGGGAAAGGUUGAGAUGGAUCAAGGAAAUGGAAAGCUGAAGCAGAAAAAAGAAGGGAUAAAAGUUUUUUUUUCUGCUUCACUGGGUUUCAUUCAAGUGAAGCAUGUGUUACAUCAGUGCACGUGUGCAGGACUGCAUGUACUGUAAAUGUGUAUACUGUACAUAUGCUUAUAUGAAUGCAUAUGUGUAUGUGUGUGCGCAGACGCAGCUGUGCUUUGCUUUACGGUCAUGUUUCUUUAUGGGUGCACUCACACACAUGUUCCCUGUGGUCUGGGCAAAACACUUAAGAGCCCAGCUCCCUUUCCAGUACUCACCUGACAGCUCACCAUUUUUCAUAGCAUGUCUACUGCGCUCUCUCUCUCCUUCUCUCUCCCUCACCUCUUAAGGAU